UACGUAGGGUGCGAGCGUUGUCCGGAAUUAUUGGGCGUAAAGAGCUUGUAGGCGGUUUGUCGCGUCUGCUGUGAAAAUCCGGGGCUCAACCCCGGACUUGCAGUGGGUACGGGCAGACUAGAGUGUGGUAGGGGAGACUGGAAUUCCUGGUGUAGCGGUGAAAUGCGCAGAUAUCAGGAGGAACACCGAUGGCGAAGGCAGGUCUCUGGGCCACUACUGACGCUGAGAAGCGAAAGCAUGGGGAGCGAACAGGAUUAGA
rnacentral:rRNA from 1 species